UGGGGAAUCUUAGACAAUGGGGGAAACCCUGAUCUAGCCAUGCCGCGUGAGUGAAGAAGGUCCUAGGAUCGUAAAGCUCUUUCGCCAGGGAUGAUAAUGACAGUACCUGGUAAAGAAACCCCGGCUAACUCCGUGCCAGCAGCCGCGGUAAUACGGAGGGGGUUAGCGUUGUUCGGAAUUACUGGGCGUAAAGCGCACGUAGGCGGAUUGGAAAGUUGGGGGUGAAAUCCCGGGGCUCAACCCCGGAACUGCCCUCAAAACUCCCAGUCUAGAGUUCGAGAGAGGUGAGUGGAAUUCCGAGUGUAGAGGUGAAAUUCGUAGAUAUUCGGAAGAGCACCAGUGGCGAAGGCGGCCCACUGGCUCGAUACUGACGCUGAGGUGCGAAUGCGUGGGUAGCAGACAGGAUUAGAUACCCUGGUAGUCCACGCCGUAAACGUUGAAUGCCAGUCGUCGGGCAGCAUGCUGUUCGGUGACACACCUAACGGAUUAAGCAUUCCGCCUGGGGAGUACGGCCGCAAGGUUA
rnacentral:rRNA from 1 species